UUUCGAAUGCGACUUGUUGUUGCGAGUCGAACAUUGACGAGUGUUCAAUGAUUGAACACUCGUGUGCCGACCGAGCGCCGCGCUGGUCGUCGCUGUGUUGUCGACCGCGCGCCGCACGUGCUUCAGUCACGGCUCGGAGUUCUGUGAGUCAAUUUCAUUUAUUCAUUAACAAUAAUAUUCUUUUAUUAAACUCGUUUUGAAUGUGUUUCAACUAGAAAUGGUGAUCUAUUUACAUUCGGGUGAGUGUUUUAACUUUCUUAAUAACUUUUAAUAUAAAAUAAUGUAUUUGUUAACCAUCAAACGACGAAUUGAAUUUAGUUAAAUUUUACGUUUUUUUGAUUUCGUUGUUUUUAAUUUUGAUGGCAAUUUUUCGUACGUAAAACAUUUUAAAAACGUCAUAGACCAUAGACAUAUUAGAAACCAAUGAUUAAAUCUGAAGGAUCUAUUUCAGUUAGCAUCCUUUUGCGAUGAUGUAGCUUCAGGUUUUUUUUUUGUUUUUUUGAGUGGGCAACAUCGUAGUGUGUUUGGAUGAUGGAUGGUCUUGAGUUUAUGAGGACAGUCUGAGGUUAAGUGGUUACUGGCGCCUAUCUAGAGCUCUUUUCGAACUUACGCUUCAAAUCUCAAUUCUAUUUAUUAUUAAAGUUGUUGUUUUUUAAACGAGUUUUGAUAUCUGUGAACCUACGGUGCUCAACUCUGGGGCCGGGUUUGUAAUGGUUAGUCACAGAAAUGAAAUAGACGCGUCCUGCAUGACCGCACAGGUUAGUACCAUCAUCCGACCUGUGUCUGCCACGAAACUGAGCAGCCGUUGUACUAUAGAACUUUGAUCUCAUGUCUCGAGAUGGGUAGCACAUUUAUGUAGCUCACGUCUAUGGGUUUCGGCGACCGCUUAGCGCGACGAGGGCCGUGAACUCGUUCACGUAAGCAAUAAAAAAGAGGAACCAAAUACUAGAAGAAGAACGACGUCUCCGGCUACUGUGUCAAUCAUUUGAAUCGAAGCAAAGAUUAACUGUUAGAGCGUAAACCGUCGAUAGAUCGACUCUCUCAUAAUGUGUAUAUAUAAAGAACGGAGCGUCGGAAUACGGACUAUUGCGCAGUUCGGUUAUACCAUAGGUAUUAGAUAUCAACCUGUACGGACGUGUCUUAGUUUUUAUUAAGUUUAAUACUAUUUAGCUGUGAAUUUAGCUUUGUAAAUGCUUUUCUUGUAUGGUCCUCUAUUUUUCUCCAAAAAACUCUUCUUUAUAGUCCUUUAUUCGUAGUGUUAGGAACAUUAUAUUUAUUAACGUGAUUUAAACGAACAAACUAAAACAUUAUUGGGAAUAAGUUGCUGAUUCUAUUUCUACACUAAGAGUAUAGUCAUGAAACUGUUAGGAUAAUUUUAUUUAAAUUGCAGUACUAUAAACAGACUUAAAAUUAAUAACAAAGUAUAUCGAAUUGUAAUUAAAAUAUAUUUAUUUAGAGCCAAUCCUCGUCCCCAUUAUGUAAAUAUUAUUAUUAAAUGACUUAAACAUUAGUUUCAUGACUAUAGUGAACUGCUGUUCACUUCGGCUCUGUCAAAAAAACGCGGGACGACCGCACAUCAAGAUGGCGGAUUCGGUCACGGAUUGAGAGGAGUCUUGUUUUGCAGAAUCAGGACGAUUUUAUGCAAUUUAUGUAUUUUAUGUAAAGCGAAGAAGAUUUUGUGAGAUUGGACCAGUAAAAGGAAGUAUAAUUAAAGAGUGAAUUUUUCGGCGAAAGCCAAAAGCAAGGUCUUUGUUAUUGAACAAGUAACUCUGAAUGCCAGUAUAUUUCAUCAGUUUUUUCUGCUUACAGUCCACGGUUUGAUCGUACAUUAAUAAUAUAAACAGAAAAAUAAUAAUUUAUUGACUAUUUUAACUAGUGUCUCUGGAACGUUUGCACUUGGCAUCUCGCUUCGCUUUUUUUUAAUCCUACCUAUGCUGAUAGCCUUGAGAGGCUAUUUCAGCUUCACCCUAACGUUUGUAGGUGAGCUCACGGGGCUCAAACCGGAGAGAUGCUAACACUGACCCUAGCAAGAGCAGUGCUUCGCAUAAUCUACCACCGGAUCGAAAACGCGACCCACUGAGAAGAUCCGGCGAGAAACUCAGUGGGCUGUGUCUAUGGGUUAAUUCGCUCGUCGAGUCCUUCGUCGUAAGCGACGGGUUCGACGAGGACGGUGACCGGUGCUUGUGAUACCUAAAAGCACCGUUAAUGGAUCGAAUCUCGCUUCGCAGAUUUCUUUCGGUACUCUUCAAAGGAGCCUUCAAACAAUAAUAUACAUACCUACAUAAAAUAUAUUGUUAGGCUCAAAAUGUAAAUUCGACAGUUGUUAUUUAUAAAACACGUGUCGAGUACUCAAAAAAGGCCGAAUAGAGACAAACAAUGCAUGCGAAUAUUUUCGGCACUUUUCAAACGAUUCCUCAAACAAACAUAAUACCUAUGUAUUGUUUGGUUGGUUAAAUUGUAAAUGCGGCUGUUUCGAACACGUGUCAUUCAUUUUAAAAAGAACAAAACAAUUAAUGAAGAUAAAUUUUUUUCGGCAUUUUUCAAACAACAUCACAACAAAACAAAAUCUAAAUUGAAAUUGUUUCAACAUGUCGCACUUUUGGAAUUGAAGUGGCAUUGUUUAAAAUUCUUGUUUUUUUUUGUAAACGCCAAAAAUGUAAUUGAAAAAUUGUAAUUUCUUCGGUUUCGAUUGUAAUACUUUAAGCUGUAAAUCGCAUACCUACAUUAAAGUUUAAAGUACGCGUUUGGUUUAAAAGAGACUGAACGUAUACGCCCUUUUUUAGAUUUAAAUUUUAUUUUUAAUUUUAUAAAUUGACUUAAUGAAGACCUACACGUUUAUAAAAUUAAUUUUCUUAAAAUUUUGUAGUUCACCCAUUUUAGUUCUAACGGUGCGAUAUAUUCUAUUUCUGAGAAUUGUGCUCGUGAAAACAUGAAUAUGUUCAGCUCAUACUUCGGGAGGAGUCGAUGGAAACUGUUAAAAUCACUCUGCAGUAUCAUGGGAACAGUUAAGGAGAAAGAGAAGCAGUACUGCACUGAAAACUCUCAAGGAUCAAUGGAAUUUUCGCGAGUGCAUCUACUACUGGAUCGGAAUCGUACUGGCUACAAGUAGCGUCUGAAAGCGCUGCGAAUGGGUCAGGUUGAUUCGUCAGAUCGUGUCUAGGAGGUCAACGGUGGUUGGUUCUGGCAUGACCAUAUGAACCUGGGUGUAGAUUAUGUCUCCUGACGGAUCGAAGACCAAGAUCGUCCUGAAAAUCGGCAUUCAUCACUUCAACUCACAAAGAAGGAGCAGUUUACUCAGUUUUCAGAUCACGGCAUAUCUUGGUAUGAAUACUGAAGGUCAUCCAGGUGAGUCUCGGAUUUAUACUUGAUUUUCUUUUCCCGGACUGAUUGGCUGAAGAUGGAUUAGAUCGGUCAUAACGCAUCUAAUAAAUUGGCUUCAAGUAAAUUGUCGAUUUGAAAUAAAAAAAAAAAAAAAUGUUUUUUUGUUCGAGUCGCUCGGCUUUUGCACAUCUCGACAGUACCGCUAAUUAAGAAGUAUAGUGGCGUUCACGGGAACUAAUUCAUUUUGAACAAGUAAAUUAGUUUAAAGUUUUAUUUAGUACAACGAAAAAGCAAUGAAUUACGAAAAAAAAACUAACGUGGUGUAUUUUAAGAUUGUUUUAAUAGGGAUAACGAGCAAUACCGUCCAGUUUUUUUGUGUGUGAAUUAGCGGUAAGUAUAAAGGUACCUAGUAGGUACCUACGUGAGGUUAUGCGAAGUGAAGCUCGUGAAUGAUUUGUAUUGUAUUGUGUAAGCUAACUUUAUAUUAAAUAUUCAUGUUUAUAGUCUCGUUUUAGUACAAAAUCGCAUAUACAGUGUGGAACGUGCCAAUUGAGCAACGCUGUUAAGAGUCUCGCCGAACAAAAAUUGAAGAAACCGUGGAAUUAAAAUCUUUCGAUUAACGAAGAACGAACUGUGUGCUGGAAUUUGAAAAGGAGGAAGCCUCAAAAGUACCUAAUGUCAACUUGGCAAUCAAGAAGGAAGAUGCUCACGCUGCAAUACUGCUUGUACGCUGCAAUUAUGCAAUACUGGACUUUAAAGUAAUGAUUCGUGCCAUACACACGCCGCAAUGUACGUCGCGUCUGCACGGAGCCGGCAACGAAUCUCCACAAACGAAAUUACGUGAUGUUAACAGAAACAUGUUAGAUAUUCUGUUUAUACAUAUAUAUGAGCGAGCUGUUACCCGCGGCUUCGCCAGCCUGAAUCAAGAAUCACCUCGCUCAGCUCUAGCGCCGCGUCUACGGAGGCCGAGGGGAAUCUAAAAUAAACGCUGGAAAACGACAUGGAGAAUUAUAUGCAAUACAAGAUAAUGGGCUCCAUCAAAUGAAUUUGAAUGAAACCAAACUGUUUACCAUCCAAAUUCGAUUGUCGGGCAGAUAGAAAACGAAAAUUCACUCAAAGUGAACCCCGGCCUGCAUUUGUGAAACGAAAAAGACUCACUAUUGUCAAGGAGAUUGAAGAGACGACUAAAAAUGAGAUGUGUUAUAUUAUCAUACCUUUGCCAUCUUGUAGUCAAGAUGUCCACUUGAAAAUAGGUGUAGUAAUGACAAAGCUAUCCAACUAGCUCCAGCACAGGAACACAAAGGCAAGUGUGUAUUGCCACAUCACCCCUUAAUAUAUCUGAAGCAAGUACAAGUAAACAAUCAGAACCAGCAAAAAUAAAACUGUUGUUCCUGAGGACAAAUUUGACAGUGAUGAGUCAAAUGCACCAGCAACAGAAGGAUCAACUGUUGACUAUGAGUUAUCUCUCUAUAUCUCCACUCCAUCAAAGACUUGUGCACUUCAGACUAUAGCUCUCAAGAAGACUAAAAAAGUUGAAAAAAUGAAUGUGUUAACAACUUUAUCUAAAGUGAAAAAUAAACCACGUUUAUAUAUUGGUCUUCCACAAGAAUUAUAUUUCAUAAUAGGCUUGAUUGAGAAACAUACAAAUGUUUCUGAACAAAAUAUUAUAUUAUGUUUGAUGAGAAUAAAAUUAAAUAGAACAUUCUCUCAAUUGGCUGAUGAUUUCGAUAUAUAUGUAAGUCAAGCAAGCAAUAUAUUUUUCAACAAACUGCCAGAAAUUGCAAAUGUAAUAUCACCCCUUGUUAGAGUAUAAAAAAAAAAUACAAUAAAUAUGUAUGCAGGAAGGAUAAUUACUUAUUAAAUCUUAUUUAUCCGGAAGAAUCCAAAGGUAGACGUUAAAGGAAAGAGAUCUUCCGGUGUCUUACUUAAUAUGGGUGUUCCUCAGGGUUCCAUAUUGGGUCCCUUCUUAUUUCUUGUGUAUAUCAAUGAUUUACCAAAGUUUAUUGAAACCCGUCACGAGGUCGUAUUAUUCGCUGAUGAUACAUCCUUAUUGUUUAAAAUUAAACGACAAUUGGAAGAUUAUGACGAUGUGAAUGAUGCUAUCUCGCGCGUGGUAAAUUGGUUUAGUGUUAAUAAUCUGUUAUUAAAUAACAAAAAAACAAAAUGUAUAAAAUUUACCACACCUAAUGUUAGACAAGUAGACACUAAUAUCAUUGUAAGUGGAGAGACACUGGAGCUUGUUGAUUCGACAGUUUUUCUUGGUAUAACAGUUGAUUCCAGGCUGCAGUGGGGUCUUCACAUAUGCAAGUUAGCGAAUAGACUUAGUUCUGCAGCUUUUGCGGUAAAAAAAAUACGAACGUAUACUGAUGAAGAUACGGCACGUCUAGUUUAUUUCAGUUAUUUUCAAAGUGUUAUGUCCUAUGGCAUUUUGCUAUGGGGCAAUGCUGCCGAUGUUGAAACGAUUUUCAUCCUGCAGAAGAGGGCUAUUCGUGCUAUUUAUAAUAUGCACCCGAGGGAAUCCUUGAGGGACAAGUUUAAGGAAAUCAAAAUUCUAACUUUAGCGUCCCAAUACAUUUUUGAAAAUUUAUUGUACGUGCGUAAAAACAUUUUAGAAGAGUCUGCGAUUUGCAUAAUGUGAACACUAGGAACAAACAUAGGCUUGCGUUGCCGGCGGCUCGAAUUAAGAAAAUAAGCAACUCUUUCAGGGGGCUGGGUGUACAACUUUUCAACAAGAUCCCACAAAACGUUCAACUACUACCUGUUCAUAGAUUUAAGAAAACUGUCGAGGAACGUUUGUGCAACAAGGCAUAUUAUAAAGUUAAGGAUUUUUUACUAAAUGGCACUACAUGGGAAUGAGGCGUUCGCUCCUGGCCUUUUCAUUUUUCAUUAUUAUUAUUAUUUAUUUGAAUUGUAUUUUUUUUAAUUGUUUUUUCGUAUACUGUAAAUAUGUUUUCUUGUUUAAAAAAAAAAAAGCCCGCUGAGUUUGUUUCGCCGGUUCUUCUCAGGACUGUGGCUUUUUUUGGAACCGGUGGUAGAGUUAACAUUUUCUUUUACAUUUUGAUAUUCAACAAGUGUGUUUUUGAUGACAUCCAAGUUGAAAUAAAUGAUUUUGAAUUUGAA